AAGUACCCGUGAGGGAAAGUUGAAAAGAACUUUGAAGAGAGAGUUCAAAAGGGCGUGAAACCGCUUAGAAGAAAACGGACGGAGCCGUCAGGGGCCUUCGGGAAUCAGUCGGACAAUAUGCUAGUCUGUCGCAGCUCAGAACGCAAGUCUGACUGUGAUAGUAAGUAGUGUUUGUUUGGCGCAUUUCUCGAAGGUAAGCACUGCGACCGAUACGAAAGGCCAUCGAAGCGGGCGGAUUGAGGUCGAGAUCUCUCACGGGAUCUUGUAACCAGUCCGUUCGUGUUUAGUCGUUGGACCGCAGUAUGUAUCGAGCGCCUAAGAAACAUAUAUGUCGGCCGUAAAGCUCGUUCGAAUAAUGGAUAGUCGGUCAAUAGUGUUGGUACCUGCUUGCAGGUGCUGAUCUAUUCGAUUCGGCUAAGAAGUUAUCGGCGACAUUUCGACAUAUAGGCGUCCGCAGUGUCAGUGUCGGUCACCCGUCCGACCCGUCUUGAAACACGGACCAAGGAGUCUAACAUAUGCGCGAGCUAAUGGGUGGAAAACCCAAAAGCGAAAUAAAAGUAAACGCUGUUUCGGACAGCCGAGGUACGAUCCUUGAAUCUGAGCGAUUCUAGGCGCAGUACCGUCCCGUCCCGACCGCAUAUCGGUAGGGCGGAGAUAGAGGGCAUACGUUGGGACCCGAAAGAUCGUUAAGUUACAAGAGCAGAGCGAAGCCAGAGGAAAGUCGGGUCGAUCCGAUACAAGUUCCGGAGGC
rnacentral:rRNA from 1 species